rnacentral:rRNA from 1 species
GACGAACGCUGGCGGCGUGCCUAAUACAUGCAAGUAGAACGCUGAGGGAGGAGCUUGCUUCUCUGGAUGAGUUGCGAACGGGUGAGUAACGCGUAGGUAACCUGCCUGGUAGCGGGGGAUAACUAUUGGAAACGAUAGCUAAUACCGCAUAAUAGCAGUUAUUGCAUGAUAACUGUUUGAAAGGUGCAAUUGCACCACUACCAGAUGGACCUGCGUUGUAUUAGCUAGUUGGUGGGGUAACGGCUCACCAAGGCGACGAUACAUAGCCGACCUGAGAGGGUGAUCGGCCACACUGGGACGGAGACACGGCCCAGACGCCUACGGGAGGCAGCAGUAGGGAAUCUUCGGGAAUGGACGGAAGUCUGACCGAGCAACGCCGCGGGAGUGAAGAAGGUUUUCGGAUCGGAAAGCUCUGUUGUAAGAGAAGAACGAGUGUGAGAGUGGAAAGUUCACACUGUGACGGUAUCUUACCAGAAAGGGACGGCUAACUACGUG